UGGGCGGCUUUCUUCUUCUUCUCUGCUUGUUGAUUUGCCAUUCAACUGGAAGUUGAACAACUCUGAAUACCAACAAUUUGUUUCCAAAUUAUAUGUGGACACACCAUGCUAAAGAUAUCGAUGCUAGUAUCGAUGGUUCUGCGGAACAGCUGAUAAACUAUUAAAUAAAUUAAAUUCAAAUAUGGCCGGGAUCAAAAAGGAUCACCAAAAGGACACCAGUGCCCCCAGGCACAGUGGAGCGUGAGACGCUGAUUCAACGUGCCAUCAAAUGGACCAUAUCUUUGCACGGACACCCGGUCUUGCAGAAGCUUCCUUAAGUGUCUCGGGUAGCACGAGCGCGUCUACCUUGAGCGCUCCCUUCAGUGUCUCGGGUAGCAUGACCGCGGCUCCUGCUAUUCCGUCGCCGAUCACGAGGCGGGCUCCCUCAAGUGCUGCUCCUAAUCUCUUCGAGAUAGAGACAUUACAGAACGACGAUGAGCAGAACCAAUCGCGAAGGUAAUGAGAAGGGAUCGCAGAGCCCGUAGAAAGUCAGUAGAUUUUCGGAAUCCCAACGACAAACCCCCGAUAUUUUCGAUUUGCAAAAUGGCACCCGUGCUCACCGGGCACCACCGGGCUUUCAUGCCCCUCGCGGAUUCAUCCCGGGACAACUCCGGCGUCAUUAUAAGGCCGGACUUUGACGCCUGGCACCAGCUUCACAACCUGAGCGACUGCAGCUGGGCGAACAUGUCGGUAUGAAUGCGGAAAAGAUUUUCGAUACUGUAGCGCCCGCAGCAUACACGAGAGGAUUCACAUGGAUGACAGCCAGCGUCCAUUCCGCAGCGAAUAUUGCAGCAAGUCUUUCGUGACCAGGGCAGACUGCAGGUCCCAUCAAAUACAACACACCAUGAGCCGCGAGCACAGCUGCCACAUCUGCAGGCUAAGAUUUAAGCUAAGGAAGCAUUUUAUGGCCCAUCUGAAACCAGGGGUCCACAAAACCCUGGAAGCGCGAGACAAAGGCCCACUUUCCGUUGAAUCAGAGUAUUUCCUAAGAAGCCUAUAACGCCGUCUUCUGUUCCAUGGGAAGGACAUUUUGCGACCAGAAGAAUGCGGUAUCCAAUGCCAAGAUGUUUAAGCCCCUUGGUGAUUCAUCAGACAUAUGAUUUUAUAUACAUAUACUACAUAUGUUAUAUAACCCAAUAAAAAACUGGGCACUCGUGUGGAGAUCUCAGCAUUUCAUCGCA